UUUUUUUCAUCCCUGCGUUGACUUAUGAUUAAUCGAACAAAAAUGGAAAUUCUGUGGGCAGCCCAGUUAGCCUCCAAAUCCAAGCAAUGAUGGAGCUCCAAAUAUACGGAAACAGUAAGCUUCGUUGUUCCUGCAGAUGCAGAUGGGAGUCCAGAGCAGGAGCCCAAGGUUGAUGCCAAGGAAGCGCCUGUCUCAGGAGCAUCAUGAUGUCUGAAUGAUUCUACAACAAGAGAUGAACUCAAUCAAAAAAAAAAUAAUUACUCAAAUUUUGUUCAGAAAAAUUCCAACGAUGGGGUUAGUGCUGCAAUCUGAAUCGAUGCACGGAACCAUAAAUAAUUUUGGGAGUAUAAGGAAACACUAUUUAAAGGAAUCUUAAAGCCACUUUUAGCCAUGAUUAUCCGUCAUAUCAUAAAGUUCUUGAAAUGGGAUAUUCACAUAAAAAUACUCAGGAAUUUCUCGAUUAUUACAGUUCUUGUUUAUUAGUCGCACUAAAAAAAUACGCCUAUUUUUGGGCCUUUUUUAAAACCCUUAAAACCCUAAAAUGGGUAUUGCAGGAUUAGAAAAUCCAUCUCAAGCUGGCCAUUUAUGAAGAAUCAGGGAGAAGGAUAUUCUAGGAACUUUUCAUUGAAGAUUGGACUGCAAAAAAUCUCCAUUUUUGGUAAUCAAAAAAAGGACCAGAGUAAGUAAAAUCAUGAUUAAGGUCUAAAUAAAAAAACAUGCCCAUAGCCAGAGGCUUUUUUUCUCUCCCAGAAGACCAGGUAGAAGAAGAAGUAUUUUUUCUCUACAAGUGAGAAUAAUUUGGGCAGCUGAAAUUUUCCCAGUCCAACACAAGAACAAUCCAACGGCUGAUUCACUACAACACAUGGUAGGCAUUUAGUAUUAAUGGCCAUUAUAAGACCGAUUGGAAACUCACAUAAACAGCAGUUUUUCCUCAGACCAUGAACAAAAAAGGGGAAUAAAAAUCACAGCUUUCUCAGAUGAUGCAGAAGAUCGUCGAGAGGGUUUGGCGGGAGCUAAGAAAAAGCCAGGCAUCGUCUCUG
rnacentral:lncRNA from 1 species